rnacentral:rRNA from 1 species
GACGAACGCUGGCGGCGUGCUUAACACAUGCAAGUCGACCGGAAAGGCCCUGGCUUUGUGGGGUGCUCGAGUGGCGACCGGGUGAGUAAAACGAGAGUAACUUGCUCUUGACUUUGGGUUAACUUCAGGAACCUGGGGCUAUUACCGGAUAGGAGCCCCCGCUGCAUGGUGGGGGUUGGAAAGUUUCGGCGGUUGGGGAUGGACUCGCGGUCUAUCAGCUUGUUGGUGGGGUAGUGGCUUACCAAGGCCUUGACGGGUAGCCGGCCUGAGAGGGUGACCGGCCACAUUGGGACUAAGAUACGGCCCAGAGUCCUACGGGAGGCAACAGUGGAGAAGAUGACACAAUGGGCGGAAGCCGGAUGCAGCGACGCCGCGUGCUUGAUGACGGCCUUCGGGUUGUAGACCGCUUUCGCCUGUGACGAAGCGGGAAUGACGGUAAUGGGUAAAGAGGCACCGGCUAACUACGUG